rnacentral:lncRNA from 1 species
UUCAGAAAUAACCCAUAUUUAUCAAAUAUUCAUGAAUGUAGAAAAAUCAUCAUUUUUGCUGUAUAUUUAUCAAAUUUAAAAAAAAUUGCACUGUUUACGUUUUCAUGAAAAUUGGCACACAUAAUCUUCUCGCGUAAUCAAACCAAACGGGGUGUUGCUAAACGGCGGAAACGGAAAACGGAACGGAAUACGGAACGGAAACGGAAACAGAAAGAAUAAACAUCUUUUCUUUUUAGUUAUUUUAUCUACAUAGGCAUGUUUUAUAUAGUAUUACACAUGUUCACAAGAAAAAAACCCAGAGGAAUGAAUUUUAAAUAAAAGAUUUUUAAGCAUAAACUAUUGAAAUAAUUACCAGGAGAUGAUGAGACUAUGUUUUUGAAAUAUUUGAUAAAGUCAUGUGUACGUCGUUCGUGCGAUUAAGGAUAGUCUGUUCAACUUUUCUUUUUAACAAAAAAAAGUUUGAUCAAUGUCAAUAAGAUAGCAACCCAACAGCAC